rnacentral:rRNA from 1 species
GACGAACGCUGGCGGCGUGCUUAACACAUGCAAGUCGAACGGGAUGAUCUUAAAGCUUGCUUUUAGAGAAUCUAGUGGCAAACGGGUGAGUAACACGUAGACAACCUGCCGACAGGAUGGGGACAACAUUCCGAAAGGAAUGCUAAUACCGAAUGAAGUCAGAGAAGGGCAUCCUUUUCUGAUGAAAGAUGGCCUCUUUUUAUGCUAUCACCUGUUGAUGGGUCUGCGUCUGAUUAGCUAGUUGGUGAGGUAACGGCUCACCAAGGCGACGAUCAGUAGCCGGUCUGAGAGGAUGAACGGCCACAUUGGGACUGAGACACGGCCCAGACUCCUACGGGAGGCAGCAGUGGGGAAUCUUCCGCAAUGGGCGCAAGCCUGACGGAGCAACGCCGCGUGAGUGAAGAAGGUCUUCGGAUCGUAAAGCUCUGUUGACGGGGACGAACGUGCGGAGUGCGAAUAGCGCUUU